GACGAACGCUGGCGGCGUGCUUAACACAUGCAAGUCGAACGGAAAGGCCCUGCUUUUGUGGGGUGCUCGAGUGGCGAACGGGUGAGUAACACGUGAGUAACCUGCCCUUGACUUUGGGAUAACUUCAGGAAACUGGGGCUAAUACCGGAUAGGAGCUCCUGCUGCAUGGUGGGGGUUGGAAGGUUUCGGCGGUUGGGGAUGGACUCGCGGCUUAUCAGCUUGUUGGUGGGGUAGUGGCUUACCAAGGCUUUGACGGGUAGCCGGCCUGAGAGGGUGACCGGCCACAUUGGGACUGAGAUACGGCCCAGAAUCCUACGGGAGGCAGGAGGGGGGAAUAUUGCACAAUGGGCGGAAGCCUGAUGCAGCAACGCCGCGUGCGGGAUGACGGCCUUCGGGUUGUAAACCGCGUUCGCCGGUGACGAAGCGUGAGUGACGGUAAUGGGUAAAGAAGCACCGGCUAACUACGUG
rnacentral:rRNA from 1 species